UACGUAGGGUGCAAGCGUUGUCCGGAAUUAUUGGGCGUAAAGGGCUCGUAGGCGGUCCGUCACGUCGGGAGUGAAAACUUGGGGCUUAACCCCAAGCCUGCUUCCGAUACGGGCGGACUAGAGGUAGGCAGGGGAGAACGGGAAUUCCUGGUGUAGCGGUGAAAUGCGCAGAUAUCAGGAGGAACACCCGGUGGCGAAGGCGGUUCUCUGGGCCUUACCUGACGCUGGAGGAGCGAAAGCGUGGGGAGCAAACGGG
rnacentral:rRNA from 1 species